GGAAUCUUCGGCAAUGGGGGCGACCCUGACCGAGCAACGCCGCGUGAGUGAAGAAGGUUUUCGGAUCGUAAAACUCUGUUGUUAGAGAAGAACACGAGUGAGAGUAACUGUUCAUUCGAUGACGGUAUCUAACCAGCAAGUCACGGCUAACUACGUGUCAG
rnacentral:rRNA from 1 species